rnacentral:rRNA from 1 species
GACGAACGCUGGCGGCGUGCUUAACACAUGCAAGUCGAACGAAAAGCCCCUGCUUCUUUCUGCUACUCGUCUUGCUAACGGAUGGGUAACUCGUGAGUAACCUACCCGUCCUUUUGGGAUAACUUCCAGAAGCUGGGGCUAAUUCCGGCUAGGAGCUCCUGCACCUCGGUGUGGGUUGUAGAGUUUCGGCGGCUGCGGAUGGACUCGCGGCUUUGCAGCUUGUUGGUGGGGUAGUGGCUUACCAUGGCUUUGACGGGUAGCCGGCCUGGGAGGGUGACCGGCCACAUUGGGACUGAGGUACGGCCAAGACUGAUUCGGGCGGCAUGAGUGGGGAACAGUGCACAAUGGGCGGAAGGCGGAAUCAGCAACUCCGCGUGGUGGAGGACGGUCUUCGGGGUGUAAAGCGCUUUCGGCUGAUACGAAGAGUGAGUGACGGUAAUGGGUAAAGAAGCAACGGCUAACUACGUG